AGGCAUUACCACACUUUACAAUUUUUGAUAAUUUACUCUGAACUUCUCUGCACCAAAAGGUAAACUUUCCAAUUCUUCAUAUCAAGAAAUCAGAAAAGAACAUUAGGAAGAUGGUGGCCAAAAGGAUACAGAAAUUACAUUUCAUCAUCAAAGAUAAAUAGCUACAAAUCAGAAUGAGCUCACAUUCUCCAUCGCGUAAGCCUUGAGCAGAAGAAAACUUGGGACAUAAACGACUGCACAGCUCAAGAUAUUAGGAUCAACUCUCCGAAUAGCUUUAGUCUUGCCGGAGUAGUAUGCCAGUUGUCUGCCUCCCAAUUCCAUCACGAUAUCGCCGUCUUCAAAAACUUUGAUGGGGCAAACACAUCCCAAGCGAUCUUCCAUGCCAACAUUGCGAAUGAUAAAUUCCUUUGUCCAAGAUUCAUAAUUACCAUAUUCCUUCAUCAACCAGAUAUGAAUCUCGUAAUCAGGCCGGAACACAGUAGCCGUAUCACACACACAUAAGCAGUCCCCUAAAACAGACAAGUUUCUAGUCAUGUGAGGAUCACUAAGAGGAGGAGGAGAAAAGGUGCUAAAAAGCUCUGUUUCAAGGUCGAUGCAAGAAACCCCAUAUGAGAAGCGCUCGCUCGCCAAGAAAUGAAGCUUUCCAUUAAGAAGUGCCCCUUUACUCCUUUCUUCAUACUCGAGCAUGCUACCACACACAAUUCUUCUCCAUCGUACAGUCCCAACAGUAUAAACUUGGCAGUCACAUCGAUCAGGUCUUUCCGGGGUUGCUGAUAAAAUCCUAACCACCUUAAAUUUGCCACUGCUUCUGCUCACUCCAAACCCAUAAGUGUGCCUUUGAAGCCGAGGUUUGGAGUAAGGCCGUGGAAGAGGAGAAGGAAGCCUAAUAUACUCACGAGUGAUUGGAUUGCAUACGAAAAUAUCACCAUCUCCUUCACACAAGAAGAGCAAGCCAUUAGCUGAGCUAUGAGUUGGCCCACAAAAAGGGAGGUCAAAGUUAAAGAGUACAUUCCAGCGAUGCUCAUGGCAGUUAAAAUCAAGCUUGUUUACAAACUCAACGAUUUUGUGCGGCUUCGGGUGCGUUUUCCACUCGAAGACAACAAGGCCCGGGACUGAUUUAGAGAGAUGGGACUUGACGAACUCAUUGGUCGCAAGGAGAUUGAGCCAUGGCUUACAAACACACUUGCAGAUCAUAGUCGUUCGAGUGGGAAGUCUUGAGAGGAUAUUUAGUAUGAUUUCUGAUGGUAGAAAAUUGAAGAAAUGUUGCCCCAUGAUGGGAAUAUUGCAAGCUUCUGAUGGUAGAAAAUUGAAGAAAUGUUGUCGCAUGUUGGGACUAUUGGGAGCUUCAAUUUUUGUCUUCUUCAUCUUUUACCUCAUCAAAACAGAUAGCAAUAUACAAGAGUUAAUCCUUGAAACUAUUUCAUAUUUUUUAUCACAACUUAAAUAAACGGAAUCAAACAAGAGCAAAUGUAGGAUAUCUGUUUCAGUGACAAGCGUAUACUAACUAAGUCAGAUUUAAGGCCUAAAAAACCCUAAUCAAUUCAAAAAAUUAAUUCGGCAAAUUCGGCUUGUCCCAAUUUGGGCUUGCUCCGUCUUCUUCAUCUUUAACCUCACUGAUAAAAACAGGUAGCAGUAUCCCGGAGUUACUUCUUAAAACUAUUUGAUACUAUUUUUUAUCAGAACUUACACAAAAUUAAAUAAGAGCAAAUGUAGGAUAUCUAAGUCAGUGAGUGGCGAAUACUAACUAAAUCAGGUUUUACGCCCAAUAAACUCUAAUCACGAUAAAUUAUUUCAGCAAAUUCGGUGAUGCUAAUAACAAUAUCUGGAAGAAGAAAAAUACAUAUAGGCUGUAUUGUAUCCAAACUCGAACUAAUGAGUAAAGACUAAAGCCCUAAUUUACAGAAAAUCCGCACAAAAAAAAAAAAAAUAAUGACUAAAUGAGCCAAAAAAAAAAACAGAGAGAUGCAAAAUUGUGGAUGUAAAAAUACAAGCUCACCUUCUAGAGAAGGCGGUGGUGGAUCUCGACGCUGCAGCGGUGGAGAUGGUAGCCGCCGUUCAAGUGCUUUUACUGUAAAACUCAAAAUGCAGUAACCAAUUUGCUCCAAACAGUAUUGCAAAACCAAACGCAAUUUGCAUUUAUCGAUCAGCUUUUGAACGUGAGCUUUCAGAUUUGCCUCUAGUAUGUAAUUUAAUGUGGGCUUUCCUUUUUUAAUUUUUUUU
rnacentral:lncRNA from 1 species